UACGAAGGGUGCAAGCGUUACUCGGAAUUACUGGGCGUAAAGUGUGCGCAGGCGGCCGCGCAAGUCGAGUGUGAAAGCCCCGGGCUUAACUUGGGAAUUGCGCUCGAAACUACGUGGCUGGAGUGUGGCAGAGGAAGGUGGAAUUCCAGGUGUAGCGGUGAAAUGCGUAGAGAUCUGGAGGAACACCGAUGGCGAAGGCAGCCUUCUGGGCCAACACUGACGCUCAUGCACGAAAGCGUGGGGAGCAAACAGG
rnacentral:rRNA from 1 species